rnacentral:misc_RNA from 1 species
AAGUCGUAACAAGGUCUCCGUAGGUGAACCUGCGGAGGGAUCAUUACCGAGUGAGGGGCCACAACCCCGACCUCCCACCCUUUGUUAAUCAAACCACGUUGCUUCGGGGUGACCUAUUCGCUUAGGGCCCCCGGAGGACCUUCAACUCUGCAUCAUUGCGUCGGAGUCAAGUACAAAUGAAAUCAAAA